AUCUAUCUAAUUUAAGCUAGGAAGAAAUAUCUAAAUUUGCAGUGCUAAGUAAUUUUAUCUUAUAUUCUUCAUUUAUAUUUUUAUACUAUAAUUGUCCAUAUGUGGUUACCAACCUGGAUUGUCUUAAGUAGAAUCAUGCACAUUAAAAAAGCAUUUCAACUUUUUCUCUGCUCUUUCUCCUCUUCUGCUUGCCAGUUCAUUGUAUUUUGAUUGCUCUGAGACCCACUACAAAGACUACUUUUGUUUGUAUCUGUGCACACACGGCCACCAUAUUGACAACAAAUUCAGCAGAAUCAAAUCAUUAUUUCAUCUUUCAGGGGAUUGGAAUUGUUAUCCUCUAGUUUCUAUUGAUUGGUAUGAUUAUGCAGCUGAAAAACGUAACUUAAAUCAUCCAUUCAAAUCUGUGGCUCAUGGAGGGAGACAAAAGUACUUGUUCUACAGCUAAUAGAUUUGCUAUAUCUUUAGCAAAACUUAAUUAGAUACAAAGCUCUUCGACAUGGUCCUCCCCAAUAAAGGAUCAUUUUGGAUGAGUUUCUUAUGGAGGAGUUCCUGAUAGCAGGCAUUAAGGAAUAGAAAUGUUUGGUUCUGAGGAAUAGAUUCUAUAGCUCAACAAGAUCAAUUUGACAACACACUCACCACUAAGUGGCUAUACAGAGGUUAGGUAAAAGGUCUCAGUCAAUCUUACACCACUAACUUAUAGUCAGAACCAAUAUGAUGCAACUUCAACUCUACAGUGUAGGCAUUUUGUAAUGAGAUGAGAUAUCUCUGAUAAUAUUAUCUUCAUUCCUAUC